CUCCAUACUACUACAAAUCCCUCCUCCCCCUUCACCAUCUCCUCCACCUCCAUACUAUUAUAAGUCUCCUCCACCUCCAUCUCCCUCGCCGCCACCUCCUUAUUACUAUAAGUCACCACCUCCUCCAUCUCCAUCACCACCACCUCCAUACUACUACAAAUCCCCUCCUCCCCCUUCACCAUCUCCUCCACCUCCGUACUAUUAUAAGUCUCCUCCACCUCCGUCUCCCUCGCCGCCACCUCCUUAUUACUAUAAGUCACCACCUCCUCCAUACUAAACAAGUCACUACAAGUGAUCAACUCAUGUCAUAGGUUAAUGGAAAAUGUAAUUGCUAUAAGAA